GACGAACGCUGGCGGCGUGCCUAAUACAUGCAAGUAGGACGCAGUUGCGAACGGGUGAGUAACGCGUAGGUAACUGCCUAUUAGAGGGGGAUAACUAUUGGACACGAUAGCUAAUACCGCAUACUAGUAGAUGGACCUGCGUUGUAUUAGAUAGUAGGUAGGGUAAUGGCCUACCUAGGCGACGAUACAUAGCCGACCGUAGAGGGAGGUCGGCCACCCUGGGACUGAGACACGGCCCAGACUCCUACGGGAGGCAGCAGUAGGGAAUCUUCGGAAAUGGGGGGAACCCUGACCGAGCAACGCCGCGUGAGUGAAGAAGGUUUUCGGGUCGUAAAGCUCUGUUGUUGAGGAAGCGGUACUUAACCAGAAAGGGACGGCUAACUACGUGCCAGCAGCCGCGGUAAUUC
rnacentral:rRNA from 1 species